rnacentral:rRNA from 1 species
UACGUAGGGUGCAAGCGUUAAUCGGAAUUACUGGGCGUAAAGCGUGCGCAGACGGUUAUAUAAGACAGAUGUGAAAUCCCCGGGCUCAACCUGGGAACUGCAUUUGUGACUGUAUAGCUAGAGUACGGCAGAGGGGGAUGGAAUUCCGCGUGUAGCAGUGAAAUGCGUAGAUAUGCGGAGGAACACCGAUGGCGAAGGCAAUCCCCUGGGCCUGUACUGACGCUCAUGCACGAAAGCGUGGGGAGCAAACAGG